rnacentral:piRNA from 4 species
GAGGGUCCAGGGUUCAAGUCCCUGU